rnacentral:lncRNA from 1 species
UCACAUGAAAAAAUUUGUUAUCAGUUCAGAAACAAUGCAAUCAAGGGUGUUGAUCGUAGAGUAAGAGCCUUAAACUAUAUCUUUCACAAAAAAACAAAAGACGUCAAUAUAAAGUCAAACUCUUCCUACAAGGCGAUCAAGUGGAAAUUAGACAUGCACACAAAACCGGUUUGGGCUAUAGGAUCCGAUCCGAUCCGAAAACCGGAUUUGGUCAAAACCGGUUUUGACCGAAUCGGAUCGGAUUGAACCGGCCACCGGAUCGAGACUUCUGACAGCAAAUCAGAUUAUACCCCGGAUCGAGAACCGGAUUUUGUUGAAACCAGAUCCAAAACUGGUUUGAAACCGGAUUUUUUGUUAUCGUUAAAAAAUGGGAAAUUUUGAAAUUUUUUUUUACUAGCCGUUAGAACUUAAAAAAACGGCUACUUUGACUUUUUUUUUUUUUUGACUUUUUGGCACUUCUAAACACCUAUAUAUACCUUUCAUUUACUACAUUUCAAUUUUACACAAAAAAUUUACUACUUAUUUUCAUAAUACUCAAAAAAAUGAGCUCGAGAAAUUCAACCGCGGGUCAAGAUUCGGAUGUAAUGGUGGUUAAAAUCAUACCAACCACUCGGAGUAAAGAAGUGUGGGAACAUUACGAUUUGUGUUUGUUGUCGAACGGGAAGGAAAAAGUGAGAUGCAAGAAGUGCGGAAUGUUUUUGGGAAAAGAUGGCAAUAGCACAUUAAGAAGUCAUACAACAAAAACUUGUCCGGCUGUAAAAGGUCAAAGUGAUCCAAGUUAACCAAAUAUUACUCCCGACGGGUCGAUCUUCAUUUACAACAAUGAUGACCUUCGUGAAAGCUUUUGCAAGUUCGUGAUUCAAGGCUAUCCUUUCAACCACUUCGACAACCCGCGAUUAACAAGGAUUUUGCGGGAAAAAAUGCAACCGCAAUACCGGCAAGUAAGUCGCACUUCUCUUAGACGUGAUGCUUUAAAGUAUUGGGAUAUAGCCAAAAAAGAUAUGCAAUUGGGAUUUUUAAAUAUAAAAACCGGUGUUUCUUUAACCUGUGACGUUUGGUCCUCCGCCGGUAGUUGUCCCAAAAGCUAUCUUUGUGUCACGGCACAUUGGAUAGAUCCCUCUACUUGGGUAAUGAACAAACGAGUUAUUGCUUUUGAACUUUUUGCGCAUCCUCAUACGGGGGCAAGAUUAUUUGCAAUUUUAGUAAGCGUUAUAGAGACUUGUAAUUUACGCGACAAAAUCUCCUCUAUUUCGUUUGACAAUGCAAGUAACAACACCACCGAGGCAAAAAGAUUAAUUGCAAAAUAUAAACCUAUUUUGGAUGGCUCGUUUUUUCAUACUAUAUGUGUUUGUCACAUUAUUAAUCUUGCGGUACAAGAUGGUUUAAAAAUGAUAGAUUCGACGAUUGAAAAAUUCAAAAUUGUGUUAACUAGAGUUUUUGGAAAAAAUAAAGCUACAAUGGAAAAAUAUCGAAAGUUUGCCAUUUCCAUUAACGUAACUCCAUAUAGUCCUCAUUGGGAUUGUGACACUAGAUGGAGUUCAACAUGCAUGAUGUUUGAAAGUUUGACACGUCAAAGAAUCGCUUUGCAAUUAUUUUACGACACAAUUUCAAAAGGAAAAAACCCGGUUUCGGAUUAUGAUUGGGAUUUGAUGGAAGAGUUUGUGGAAAUGUUAAAAGUUUUUAAACAAUCAACCACUUUUCUAUCGGGUGUGUAUUACCCUACAAGUCCGUUGUUACUAAAUGAAUUAUGGUUGAUGUCCGCACAAUUGGAACGUUUUGAACAAAGAAGUGAAAUAUUUGUUUUGGUUACGAGACCAAUGAGACAAAAACUAGUCAAAUAUUUCAAAGAAAUGCCACCACUUUUUACUUGCGCCGCAGCAUUAAACCCAUGUAUCAAUGUUACGGGUGUAGAGGCUUUGAUUACCAAAAUUGCUAUGUCUUUAAAUUUGCACAAAGAUAACUCAAACUACAUCCGUAACCAAAUAAACAUUUUUAAUGAUACUUUUACUAAUUUGUUUGACAUUUACGCUACAAAAUAUGGCAAUAUGUCAAACACUUUUGCAAGUGUAACCGACUCUACUAGCGGUGCAUCGGGUAGUGGUGGGGGUCGAACGGAUUUUCAUAUCGACCUUUAUAACUACCUUUUGGAGGAGCAAAACAAAAGAGAACGCACAUUAAAGCCUAGUAGCGAACUUGGAAUUUAUAUGGGUUCAAACUUUUUAAAAUUCAUGAGUGCAUCACAAUUUAAAAUUUUGGAUCUUUUGGCUUGGUGGAGAGAAAAGGAAGCACAAUUUCCUAUUCUCUCUAUCAUGGCCCGUGAUUUACUAACCGUCCAAGCUUCCACGGUAGCUUCGGAAUCCGCUUUUUCUUUUAGUGGAAGAGUUUUAUCAAAGUUGAGGACGAAUCUUACCCCGGUUGCGGUAGAGGUUUGCGUUUGCUUGAAGGAUUACUUAGAUUCUGUGGAACAUAUAUAACACUUGGCAUCACUAGAAGGCCCACUAUCACAAAAUGUUGAACCGAAGAUCAUGGAUGAAGAAUAUGCACAAGGCUUAUCAACACCUCCAGAAGACGAAGACGAUGACGAUGAAGUCGAAGAUGAAGACGGGGAUGAAGAAUAUGGCAUUGAUGAGGCCCCUAGUUACUUGCGUGGCGGUUGAAGAAUAAUUAAAUGAAGGUGACAUGUAGUGGAAGACCACAAAAUCUAUUUCCAUUUGGCUAAAUGUUAUAACGCCACUUUAUUAUUAUUAUUAUUUAACUAGUUUAAAAACUCUUUCUAAUUCGACGUUUGAUGUAUGUUUUAACUAUUUUAAUGUACCCAUGUUGCAUUUUGUGUUAUAUUUGAGGUCCAAAAAAUGUGUAUUUAAAAAAAAAUAAAAAAAAAGAGAAAAUCGGAUCGGGUUUCGGAUGGGAUCGGAUCCGGAUCGGAUUAAACCGAAUCGGAUGCGGGGCUUGGAAAAGCGGUAAAAUCUGGUCAAAUCCGGUUUGAAACGGGUUCGGAUUAAAGGUUGAAUCGGAUUCGGCGUGACAUCAUCAAACCGGAUCGGAUCGGAUCAGAUCGGGUCUUUGUGCAUGUCUAAUUCUGUCAGAAUAGAAUCUUAAAAGAUCAAAAUUGUAUGGGAUGAAGAUGAACAAUGACCACCAAUCUUCCAAAAAAAUGGAUUAUUCCAGCAGAAUAACAUACAAUAUUAUGAAAAUAUAUAUAUAUAUAUGUAAUAGUAUAAUCUGGUAGAAUGAUUUAUAUAUUGUAUUUCUUUGUUAUUAAUAAAUGUAACAUUCUUAUAGAAUAGUAUGUAAAUUUUUUUCUUUUCUAAGAAUGUAAUGAAUUUUUUUUUAACUUGUAUCAAAAAUUUUGUUAUGCUUCAAGAAUUUCAUUAAAUCAAAAUAUAUAUUAUGUCAGAAUUUUUAUUCUUGUAUGGUUCAAUCAUAUUUGUUAUUUUUCAAUAUAUUGAUAAACAUAUUCCGUCAGAAUUUUACGUAUUAAGAGAAUUAUCAUCCAUACAAUCUGAUUUUUAAAAUUAAUAGAAUCUAUUUUCCCUUAAAAUAUACAAUUUUCCUUAAAAUAUGCAAAUUUCCAUUAUUAAAUCUAUAUUAAUUGACUAAAAUACCCUUCUAGUUAGAAUAGAUGGUACUUUUGAAUUAUAUUUAAUUCAAUAAUAUGUAAUAAUCACUUACUUAAAAUAAGUAAAAUUGAUUGGCCCACAUUUNNNNNNNNNNNNNNNNNNNNNNNNNNNNNNNNNNNNNNNNNNNNNNNNNNNNNNNNNNNNNNNNNNNNNNNNNNNNNNNNNNNNNNNNNNNNNNNNNNNNNNNNNNNNNNNNNNNNNNNNNNNNNNNNNNNNNNNNNNNNNNNNNNNNNNNNNNNNNNNNNNNNNAAACGAUGUUGUGUGGUUCAUCUGGGAGUUUCGAGAGAGUUGUUUCAAAAGAGAGCGAGAGAAAUGGUUCUUGGGAGUUUGAUCAGAGAGUCGAUGCUAAGAUGCGGAGACACAAACUAUUGAUAAGCUGCAGGUAUCCAUUUAUUGAGACUAUAGUACAUUAAAGUUAUGAAAUUUGUCUAAUUUAGUUGUUAAAGUUUUUUUUUUUUGCACAUUAGACCAUUGUCAUGUUUUACCUGUAAUUUAGUCAUUUUCACUGAUGUUAAAUGGUUUCCCAAUUGACAUCGUAUAUAUGCCGAUUAAUAUAUGUAUUUUUUAUCGAAUCUGAUGACACGUGAGAUAUGCCACGACAAAAAUAAAAGUCAUUAAAUUUUUAUCCCUCUUUAAUCAAUUAAACUUCUUCUCUCUCCAUCUCUUUAUGACUUUCUUUCUCUCUCUCUCUCUCUCUCUCAAAAGUUGAGAGUGAAGAUGUGUUCUUCGUUUUCUUGUUCAUUUUCCUCCAGACUUUCCGAUUCCAACAGCUGGAGGAUGCCAAGGACAACGAGGAAGAAAAUGAGAUUUUUUUCCUCUUCAACAUCCUUGUCUUAAUCUUCUUCAUCUCAAACCCAAAUUUGAAACCUGAUCCUAUUCGAUAAAUACCACCAUAAAUGCAUUCAAUCUAAAUAAGUAUGUGUCAUCUUCAUGGUAAUCGAAUUUGAAUUUUUUGAAUCUGAACAUGAACAAUGUGUAACUGUCAUCAGUUUCUUCCUUCAAUACUCAGUUGUGAACAUCCAUAGCAACCUAUGGUUAUCUCUCAGGGGAAAUUUUCCCAAUGUAGUUGCUUCGGUGUUGGAUUUAUUAUUGGCGAUAUCAUAGACAUGUUUGCGACAGAGGACGGUGAUAUGGGUUUUAAUUGAUUGAGUCGAUUUAGCUGUGGAGUAUGUUUCUUUUAGGGAAUCUCCAAGAAAGAGUUUCAUUUAACUGGAUACAAUGGGGACGAUGUAGAAUCCGUAUAUGGGUUCUGGACGUGCCGUGAACUUGGCCUCAUGAGAAAUCGUAAUAUAUAUAUAUNNNNNNNNNNNNNNNNNNNNNNNNNNNNNNNNNNNNNNNNNNNNNNNNNNNNNNNNNNNNNNNNNNNNNNNNNNNNNNNNNNNNNNNNNNNNNNNNNNNNNNNNNNNNNNNNNNNNNNNNNNNNNAUAUAUAUAUAUAUAUGAACUCGUUGUUUCUGGAGACUACGAUCUUCAUGGAGCCGUGUUUGUUCCAGAAAAAUCAAGGGUUUAAUUUUUAAGCGGAAGGAACGAUUGGAGACGACGGUUUAGGUGGACAAAGUGGUGGAAAUGGAAUAGUCGUCGUUGUUGUUUUUGGAUGUAGAGGUAGACAGUUAUUGAAGUUGCGGUUACAAGUGGGCCGUCAGUGGAGGAUUGUUGGUCCGAUGACAUCAUGUUUGUUGUUUGCAGGCAUAUUAUUUUGAUUAUCAAGAAAGAAAGUGUAGCAUAAAAGAAGGGUGCUCGGCGAAGAUGAUCCAAAAUAGAUUAACAUUCUGUUAAUAAUAGAUGUGGCUAUCUAAAAACAAAGAAAAAUCUAUUAGUAAUGACACAUCAGCAUUGUUACCGGGAAACCUAUUAAAUUUGAGAAUAAUGGGUUAAUUGACAUCUCAAUAACAAGAUUAAUGGCCUAUUGCUCCAAAAAAAUAGUGAUCAAAUCGGGAAAAUUACUAAUUUUUAAUGUGCUACAAUAAGAUUUAUGUUAUCGUAUUUUAUAGCAUAAAUUACAAAGGGUUGUUAGACCCGAAAGUGUUACGAGAGUUUGUAAUAUGAUGCUCCUAAGAACUAGAUAGUAAGAUUAGUAGAUAUAUCUAACAGUAGUGAAAAUACUUAGUCUGGACGAUGAGGGUUAAAAACUCUAAUUUACCAAAACUGAUGCUUUAAUCAAGUUCAUCGGAAUGAACCGAAGAAAUUAGUAACAUUAGUUUUAAUCAAUGAAUAUAUCUUUUCUAGAAAUCGAGUAGUGUAAUGUGGUGCUUAAGGAGAAGAAAUUUGAAGAAAGAAAGAAUUAUAUAGGAGUAAGAAAAGGACUCUUACAUAUGUGGAUGUCAAGCAAACAAUAUUAGUGACAAUGUCGGUGGUUCCUACCUCCCAUCUCACCAUCUAUCCUUUUACUGACCUAAUUCAUGAACCUUCUCCUCCUCCUGAAACUAUAUCUUCUUUCCAACAUUUCCAACGACAUAUAUUAUUUUAUACAAGAAUUUACAAGAACCACUUAGUCAUUGGAUUAAUGGGAAGGAGUUGGAUUGAAUAUUGAUUUCCAAGAUUGACACAUUUGGGUGUCUUUGGUAGAUAAUCAUGGUUUCACGUGUAUGUAUGUGUGUGAUGAAAGGUAUGGGGUGUGGGUAGGGUUUUCUAUACUUUUAUUAAAAUAUGUAAAUAGAAAAAAAGGAAACGAUAUUAGAAAGGGUAAGAUGAUCUUUUCAUAUGGAGCAUGGACGGCUAAUGCAUUAAAAGCAAACCACAAGGACCAUCCAUGUUACAAAAUCAAUAGUAGGACCAAUAAGAUGAAUCGGGGAAAACCAAAUGGACCAAAUGUAUAAUUUAUUCUAAAAACUAAUAAAAAUAUUAAACAAUUUAUAUUUUUGACAAAUUACAAAGUAAAAUGGAACAACAUGAGCCACCAAACAAAAACUUGAAACCAUAAGGACCAUUCACGAGGAGAAAUAAGAUACAAACUAACCGUGUGAUUUUUGGUAAACAACAAAGACCAAUCAUCUCCCUAUCUAAUAAAGAAAACCACUAUUCCAUGUGUCCCUUCAAAACCACCAAAUUCUGCCAAAGUUAAAUACCAACUUUGCCCCUCUUUUGUUUCACCUUAUAUUCAAUAAUCAAGCCCUCUUUUGUUUCACCUUCUAUUCAAUAAAUCAAUUCAUUAUAAUCAAAGAAUAGAGUUGUACAUGUUUAAGUUACAUACCCGAUUAAUAGCCGUUUAUUAUGUAUCCAAGUUCUUAUAUAUGGUAUGAUAUCAAUUGGAAUUAAUUUGAUUUUAUUAUUAAUUUAAAUCAUAUUUUGUUCUAUAUAAACUUCAUACAUAUUGAACAAUCGUUCAUUUACGAAAUACGAUUCUCCGCAGGAAAGAAGACCAAUAACUUGUACGCCUGAAGAAACUCUGACUUUGGCAUAAUCUGUUUGGUACACUCAUCGUUCUUGAAUGUUGUUGUUUUUAAUCCUGGCUUAGUAUAAAUAUUGGUAAUACAAUAUAAUUGGUGUAUGUAACAGAGGCCAACAUUAACUUUAUAUCGGCAUGCAUCAAGUAGUUCGAUUGAUUAAAAAAAGGCCUCGAUACAAAACAUCUACCGGAUAAGCUUUAUACAUGUCUUUGCUGAUAAACGCAUUAGAUAUAGUGUUCUUUGCUUGCAAGGUGGAUUAAUCUUUGUUUAGAACAUGUUUUAGAUUUUAUCAGCGUAUUUGUAUGAGUAUAAAUAUAGUUGAAAUGUUUGCGUGUAUGUGUAGCCAUAUUUGUAUUGACCUUUCAAUACUUCCCCCUAUCAGCUCAGCAUACAAAUGAUGGUUUAAUAACUUAUUCUAUUUCACAAACAUAUAAAUGACUAUUGUCAUGAAUUGAGUUUUUGAAGAAUGAAGGCCAUUCAUGAUUGGAUGAAGGCUACGAAUAUUUGGUAUGGAUCAGGUUUCUUUAAUUUAGGUUUCUUUAAUUUUGGCUGUAUUUUGUUUAUGGUUUUUCUUAUUUUUUUUUUGGUUAGCUUCGGUUUGAUGUCUAUGUUUCAAAUUUUUUGCUUCUAUUUUUUUUGGUUAGCUUCGGUUUGAUGUCUAAAACAAUUUUACAACCUUAAAUUGGAAAAGACUUCCCAAAAAUUCCCAAAAUGCCCUUAGUAUUAAAAUUGGCCCAGAAUUUGAAUUAAGCUAUCAGAUUAUACCUCCGUCAAAAUUUUGCCUGCAUAUAUAUAAUAGAUUUAUUGGUUUUAUUUAAGGAUUUAUUUAUUUUUUGGAUUUCUCAUACACUUUAGUGCUUAUAUGGAUCCUUAUCAGGAAAUCAAUACGUAUUGCAAAUGGAGUAGGGGAUACAAACUUGAGUUUUGAUAUCCCGAAUUCCCCACUCUCAUAUAAGACAUCACCUCUCCCUAACGUGGCCUCUAUUUUCAUAUUUCUUCUCCUCUAUCCACCUGGAAAAAAACUAUGGAAGGUUUGAAGAAUUUUAUUCUAAGUUACCUGUUGAUUGCCAUCUCUAUAGUUCCUUCUUUCCGGGUAGGGCUCACUAACUGAUUAUAUGGUUGCCAUCCUCUUGUAAUUAUACAGAUUUUGAUCUAAAUUUGGUCAUUUUUUUUUAUUUGGGAUUUUAGGUUUGUAGAGACAUGGUCAAAUAAAGCUCUUAUAUUUUCUCUUGGAUUAUCUACCUGGUGAAGUUUUGCAGGAUAUAAAUCAGAGGUGUAACAUCCAAUAUUGACUUUGAUUUUUGAUAGAACAUGUGUGGUCUACUGAUACUUCUUUUACAUCGUUAUAGGUUAUUGAUCAUGGAAGAAAAAAUAAAAUCUUGCUAACCAUUGUUCUCGGUCUUAAUCACUUGAGUUAUCACUUGAUUUAGGAGGUGUUUUAGGCUUUUUUUUGAUCCGUGAAGACCCAGAAUCGUCGACCCAAGAGGUAUUGGCGCCACUUCUUGACUGCUUCAGUAAUGGCAUGGAGUUCUCGGAUAUAUGUUGAAGCUGUUUGCUUGCAUGGGCAGAGCUUCUUGCUAAAGCAAGUGAUUGGUUUAUCAGCUUGUGAGAGGAAGGCGCCAAUGCCAAGGCAUCUGUGGUAACAUCAAAAAAUUCAUUGAAAUUAGGUAAAGCUAGUGCUGGAAGGUGUAACAUUGCAACUUUAAGGCUGGCGAAGGCUGUGUUUGCGUCUUCCAUCCAGGAGAGUGAUGAGCUACGCAGCAGAUCCGUGAGUGGGGCGGCCAAGGUAGAGUAGUUUUGCACGAGCCGGAAAUAGUAGGCGUUAAGCCCAGGAAUCCCCGAGGCUUGUGAUUGUCUCAGAUUUGGGCAGCCACAAAGUUAUGAAUGGCUUUCAAUUUUUCGGGACUGGUGGACACUCCUAAUUAACAGAGAGAUUACAUGCCCUAGGUAUUGGAUUUCAUAUACCCCGAAGAUGCAUUUGGAGAGUUUCGGAUAGUAUCGAUGUUGAGCCAACAUCUGGAACACAAUUCGUAAGUGUUCAUGGUGCUGUUCUCGUGAUCGACUAUAGAUGAGGAUGUCGUCAAAGAAAACUAACACGAUGUGGCGUAGUACAGUGAGAAAGAUGUCAUUAAUUGCCACUUGGAAUGAUAAAGGAGCAUUUGAAAGGUCAAAUAGCCUGACCUGAAACUCGUAAUGGUUGUCGACGGUCCGAAACCCUAUUUUAUUGAUAUCCUCAUCAUGAACCCGGAUUUGUUGGUAACUUGCCCGGAGAUCACAUUUGGGAAAAACAAAUGCGUCGUGUAGUUUCCACGAUUGGUAAGGGAAAUCAAUCCUGAAUGGUGAUGGCGUUAAGAGCAUGACCGUCGACACAAAAUCUCCAUGUUCCAUCUUUCUUUCUGAUGAGUACGACUGGGGAAGAGAAAAGACUAUUGCGGGGGCGGAUCAAGCCUUCCUGUGACGUGGUGGAGAUGAGAUCGAUCAUGAUAUGUUUUUGGAAAUGUGGAUACCGACACUAACACGUUAACCGGUGGUGUGUUAGGUAAGAGAAGGAUGCGGUCGUUGUGUCGGCGGCUAGGGGGAAGGGUUGUGGGUGUGGUAAAAAUACUUUGGCAUUCUUGGAGUAGGGAUUGAAUGAUACGGUCAGUCGUGGGUGUAGGUGUUGUGUUUUGUGUAGUGGGUUCAAACGGAAGUGCUUGCAUAGAGGCAACAGAUUACUUUUGUAUCAAAUGUUGGAUGGUACUUAUAGUGGCGGGGGUAGCGAGCGGUUCACCGGUGAGUGUAAUUUGUUGUUGGUUGUGUUUGAACAUGAUCUUGGGAAUGGAGAAACUUGCUGUUAGAGGACGUAAAGAUCUCAACCAUUGUAAACCAUGAACGACAUCAGCACCUGCAAUCGGAAGAACCAAAAAUGGAAUGGUUAAGGUAGCUUCUUGUAGUUGUAAGGAUACAUCUAGACAGUAGAUAUGGGUUCCAUUGCUGACCAUAACAGAGAAAGUUAGAAUAGGUUUGGUCGGUAGGUUGAGAAAAGUAGUGAUACGGGAUUGGACGAUAUUAUGUGUAAUGCCACAAUCCACCAAAACGGUAAUCGGUUGGCCUCCGAUGUGGCCAGUAACACACGGAGCACGUGGGGAUGCUGACCCGAGUAAGGCUGCUGGAGAUAGAGACCAAAACUGGGAGAUGGUAUCAUUGACUUUUGUAUCCUUCAUUGAGUUGUCGUUGGUGGUUGACAACAUUGGAUGCGUUUCAGGUUGUCACAAGACUGGUGUUGCAGUUGGAGUUGUUAUUAUCAACCACUAAGAAGAAUUGCAGUGGGUUGCACUUAUGACCCGGGUGGUAUUUAGCAGGACAUCGGAAACAAAGUCGGACAACUAGUCUUUUCUGCAUGGCAUCCGGUGAGAGAUGAGUGAAGGGAAGGCUUGCAUUGGGUUGUGUUGGUGUUGGCAGAAGACCUACCGAUGUUGCUGGUGGAUUGGGAAUGGUUGUAUUGUUGGUGGUAAUAGUGGUGGUACUAGGGGUAGUCGGAUAUGGUGAUGGACGAUGGGAUGGAACAAAAUGGGAGCGCACUCGAUUGUCACUAUGUUUUUCUUCAAUUAACUUGGCUAAACUCGUUGCUUCUGACAUUGUGGUGGGUCGUAGUAUGGUUAGUUCUUGGCUAAAUAGUUAAGGAGUACAUCGGGCGGUAACCAGUGAUAUAAUUGCUCAGACGUUAAAAUUUUGUUUGGUAUGCUGAUACUGUUGUCUGUCGAAGCUUGAACAAAGAGGCCUAGUGGUAAUCAUAUGUGGAUGGACCCAAUCGAGUUUCCAAGGCUCUACUGAAAUUAUCCCAGGUGGUAAGUAAUUCAAUGUUGAAAAGAUACUUAUACCAACUUUGUUCAUCUCCACGUAGAAAGAAAGCGAUCAUUGUGAGUCAUUCCGUAGGAUUGAUGUUAUAGAAUGUGAAAUACUGGUGUGCCUAAAAUAACGAUUCGAAUAGAUUGGAGCCAUUAAAAGUAACCAAGGUCAGCUUGGGUGGGCGCCUUUGUGUGUUGGUGGUGAGAGGUUUGGGUUGUUUACUGGCAGAUGCUUUUUCUGGUUUGAUUAGGGUUGCCAGGAGAGUAUCGGUUUGCUCGUAUUCGGCGGUUAGCUGCUUCAUGAUGAUGUCGAGUUGGGACUGGGUGGUAGUUUGGUUGGCGGUGGAAAAAGUAACUAGUUUGGAUAUAUUGUCGACCAUGGCUGCCAUGGAAGAUUAGAGAGUGGGUAAUGUCUCAAGUUUUUGAGGCAUGAUUACACUACUAGAAACAUGAGUUUUAGAGACGAAAGUAUCCGUCGCUAUUCCGUCGCUAAAUGUUGUUUGCGAUGGAUCAGCGACGGACUCACUCCAUAGGUAAUUUAUAAGUGGCUAAUUUCUCAGCGAGGGUUUUAGCGACGAAGAGGUUUUUCCUUGCGACAAAUGUAGCGACAGAAUAUCCGUCACUAAAUGUCACUCAACACAUUUACUCAGGGCAUUAGCGACAAAAUUUGAUAAAGUCAUUCUGUCGCUUUUCUGUCGCAAAAUUUCAGUGAUCAAUUUUUUUCCGUAGCAAAUCCCUUGCAAAAUUCAUAUAUUGAUUUCUUUUUUUUUUCGUCACUAAUCUGUCGCAAACUUUAGACAUGGUUUUUUUCCAUAGCUAAUCCCUUGCAAAAUUUAUACAUUAAUUUUUUUUAUACUAAAAAACAUCAAAUAACAAUGCAACCAAACACUACAAUAUCAAAAUAUCAAAGUUUACCAAAGUAUCAUUCAAAAAACAUCCAAAACCAAAACUAUCCAUAUAACAUCAAACUCCCAAAGGUUUAACUUCAAAAUAACAUUUUAGCACCAAGAAAUCCAAAAUAUGCAUCGGGAAAUGAGUUUUCACAAAACAUAAUUUCAAAAUAACAUUUUAGAUGCUCUCUUCAUUUCAUGUCCAUCCAAUCAUCUUCGGUUCACAUUCCUAUAAAAUAUUAUUCAAAACAAUCAAAAGUAUCAAAUACAAAAGGUUAACAAGUCAUGCAAAAACAUCAAAUACUAAUGGUUAACAUCAUAUUACCUCUAAUUUUCAAUUUCUCAUCAUAUUUUGCAAGGCUGCAUACAUCUUCUCCAUUGCUUCAUAUUUUGCAUCAAUUUGUUGUUGUUUGACAUCUAUUGCUGCAGCUUUCGCAUCCAUUUCCUCACGCAUUUGUUGAUGUUUAGCUUCCAUUUCUGCAGCUUUAGCAUCCAUUUCCCCACGCAUCUCAUUUCGUACACGUUCAUAGACAACCUAAAGUACAAUGCCAUGAUAGGAAACUUUGUAAGUACAAUGCCAUGAUAGGAAACUUUGUAAAUACAAUACCAUGAUAGGAAACUUUGUAAGUACAAUGCCAUGAUAGGAAACUUUGUAAGUACAAUGCCUUGAUAGGAAACUUUGUAAAUACAAUACCAUGAUAGGAAACUUUGUAAGUACAAUGCCAUGAUAGGAAACUUUGUAAGUACAAUGCCAUGAUAGGAAACUUUGU